CGUAGGGUGCAAGCGUUAAUCGGAAUUACUGGGCGUAAAGCGUGCGCAGGCGGUGAUGUAAGACAGAUGUGAAAUCCCCGGGCUCAACCUGGGACCUGCAUUUGUGACUGCAUCGCUAGAGUACGGUAGAGGGGGAUGGAAUUCCGCGUGUAGCAGUGAAAUGCGUAGAUAUGCGGAGGAACACCGAUGGCGAAGGCAAUCCCCUGGACCUGUACUGACGCUCAUGCACGAAAGCGUGGGGAGCAAACAGGAUUAGAUACCCUGGUAGUCCACGCCCUAAACGAUGUCAACUGGUUGUUGGGUCUUCACUGACUCAGUAACGAAGCUAACGCGUGAAGUUGACCGCCUGGGGAGUACGGCCGCAAGGUUG
rnacentral:rRNA from 1 species